GGGAGCUCUUUGGUUUUUCCUGGGAGUUAAAGUAAAGAUUUACCUCCUCUUAAUUUUUCCAGUGGGUGGUAAACAAACUUCUCUAAGCCUCUUCUGGUAAGGGCUUCCGAGAUAGUUUUUACAUGCAGGAAGAGAGAACAAGUGCAGGCAACGUCCAAGGUCCUCUUGUUUUGCAGAUCACUGCACAACAGACCCUCAGGUAGAACAAGUUUAGAUAGUGACUCUUAACCAAAGUACAAGUUAGCAUCACCUGGAAGACUUUACUAACCAUGGUUGGCUGAGAGUCUGUGGGAGCAGAAGAGGAAACUGAGGCUUUAGAGAACUGUAGCACAUUGGCAAGGACAUCCAGCUCAUAAACAAUCCAUCAGAAAAGUGAGGUCACUGAGCAACCCACCACCCAAAACCUGGACAGACAGAGAAAUACAGAAGCAUGGCUUACAGAGAGCAGAAGCAGCUGCUGGAGCCACCAUCUGGUAGAAACACUUCAGGGAUGAGAAAACAGUGACCUGGAGACAGUUAUUUCACCAACAGAAGCUGGAUCUCUAAUAAAAAGACUAUGGGCUGCUGCAACUCUAGGAAUGGAAGCUUCACAUCUACCAUCUACUGCUUGCUGCAUACCCCACUGCAUCGGUCACUGAGGCGCCCAAUACCUGAGGAAUUGAAAUCAACAUUAUGUUAAGAUGCGGGAGCUCUCAGAGAACAUGCAGCCACUCUUAGGAAGUACAAGAGGACUGGAGGGGGAGUCCUAUAGACUGAAUGCUUCCAUCCCCCCCGCCGGAAUCAUAUGUUGAAAUUCUAAUCCUCAACGUCAUGGUAUUAAGAGGUGGGGCUUUUGGGAGGUGGUGAGGUCCUGAGGGUAGUGCCCUCCUCCAUGAAAUUAGUACCUUUAUGAAAAGAGACAGGAGAAAGCUUGCUUCUUUUGUCUCUUCUCUCCCAAGUAAAGACACACCAGAGGAGAGUCAUCUGCCAACCCGGAAGAGGGCCCUCACCAGAACCUGACCAUGCUGGCACCCUGAUCUCAGGCUGCCCAGGCUACAGAACUGUGAGAAAGAAUUCUGUUGUAUAAACCACCCAGGCUAUGGUAUUGGCAAUAGCAGCAUGAGCAGCAUAAAAUAGGGCAGGUUCAAGGCCUUUACCUAAGAACCUGAUGCUCAAAAGAUACAAAAAGUGUCUAUAUUCCCAUCAACAAUCCAUUCUCCUGAUGAACUUGCCAGUAUCCUGAGGUUUGCAGCCAGGGAAGUCAGCCCAUGUUUGCUAAAUAAAUGAAUGAGAAGUGGAAGUGGAGAUGAUGGAGCAGGUACAUGGCUGAAAACCUGUUUAUGUCAGAGCCCAUUUCCUACCUUUUUACCUACCUAGAAGGCAGCCAGCACUUCUCAGUUCCAUCAUACAGAGAACAUUUUGCUGAGAUGACACCAACUUCCAGUUCUUCACAAAGAUGCAGCCCUCAGCCUUCAGCAUGAGAACAGGGACAUCAGCCUGCUUUGCCCAUGGAACUGUCUCCAGAGCCUACAACAAUGCUCAGCCUAUGAGAGGUGUCUCCUAGAAGACUUUCCAUUUCAACAAGCCUCAUUUAUAUGCAACUGGCAAUUUCUCUAAACAGAAGAAAAGGGGAGAUUUUGCCAAUCAAUUGGCUUCACCAUCCCCCAGCCCCAAAGUGUGUUUAAGAACAUUUGCCUGUGCAUGCAUGUGUUUUCCUUUGCAUCCCACAAGAGGAAGGGUCUCGCUCUGUGGCCCAGGCUGGAGAGUAUGGUGCAAUCAAGGCUCACUGCCCCAUGUUCAAGCCAUCCUCCCACCUCAGCCUCCCAGAUAGCUGGGACUAGAGACACACAUCACCACGCAUGGCUCUGGGUUACUUCAAUAAGUAUUUUUCAAUAAAUAUUUCUUCAAUAAAUAUUUAAUAACACAAAGCUCAUGAAAAUUUAUCUCUAUUAUUUCUUGGAAUAUUGUGGCCAAUUUUAGAUGGUCCAAAAUUGUGAUCUUUUCAUUUUUAUUAUAUGCUGGUUUAGAAUAGAAAUUUUCUAAUUAAAAAUAGCAUCAUCAUUAAAAUAUUCUUCUUCUAAGUCAAGAUUAUCCAAAGUAUAGCAAAUGCCAAAAUCAUUUCAUGUAGACUCUCUGAUCUCCCCUCAUCGGAUGUGUUCUCUGCUUCUGUGGUUCUGUAGGAAUAAAGAGCACUCUCUCCCUGUUAGCAAAUUUU
rnacentral:lncRNA from 1 species